rnacentral:rRNA from 1 species
UACAGGGGGUGCAAACGUUGCUCGGAAUCUUUGGGCGUAAAGCGCACGUAGGCGGUUCGUUAUGUCGGAUGUGAAAGCCCUUGGCUUAACCGAGGAAGUGCAUCCGAAACUGGCGAGCUAGAGUACUAAAGAGGAUCGCGGAAUUCCCGGUGUAGAGGUGAAAUUCGUAGAUAUCGGGAGGAACACCGGUGGCGAAGGCGGCGAUCUGGGUAGAUACUGACGCUGAGGUGCGAAAGCGUGGGGAGCAAACAGG